UCCUACGGGAAGCAGCAGUGGGGAAUNUUGGACAAUNGGCNNNAGCGGAUCCAGCAAACACGCGGGGGCGAAGAAGGCCUUCGGGGUGUAAAGCCCGAAGACCGGGGAAGGGGUGGUCCUGCUUUUAGCCUGGNUAAAGGACGGUACCCCCAGAAGAAGCACCGCCUAAUUACGUGCCACCAGCCGCGGUAAUAAUUAGUAGGGGAGGAUUGUUAGGAAUUACUAGGGGUAAAAAGUGGUCAGUAGGCCGCCUAAGAAGUCUGUGAAAUCCCCGGGCUCAACAUGGGAAGAGAUGCGGUGACUGCAGUAAUAGAGUACGGUAGAGGGGGGUGGAAUUCCUGGUGUAGCAGNGGUGAAAGUAGAGAUCAGGAGGAACACCGAUGGGUAAGGCAGCCCCCUGGGCGGGUGUGACCGAUCAUGAGGCAAAAAAGGUAGGGGAAACAACCGGAUAUGAUACCCGGUCCUCGCCGCCGUAAAUNAUGCUCAGCUUGGUGGGGGUGCAUAGAGCCUGGGUGGCGAAGCUAACGCGUAAGUAGCCGCCUGG
rnacentral:rRNA from 1 species